UGUUACAUAAAAAGAAUAGUAAUUGUAUUAUUUAUUUGUUACAUAAAUCUAAUUUUCCUUUUUCAGAUGCUCAGAGCUAUUUGUUAAAAGUUCAAUGACAAAGUAAAUGUCCUGGGGAGCAUGUGUCAGGGUGUACAUACAAAGUAAUCAGUUCUGUUUCUUCUGAUGUUUAAAAUACAUCUGACAAUGCAGUAAUGAUGUUGUGAAAUGUCAUGUAGCAAUAAUAAUGAAGCCAGAUAUGCCAGACCGCAUUAUUAUUUUACUAUUAUUAUAUUACUCUGUGUUGCUUUUAUUCAAUUUGAAUACAUUUAUUAACUUUACAACUACUAUUGUGACACUGCAUUUUGCUGUACUUUAAUGUGUAGGUCUUAAAUUUCAUUCACUGUACUGAAUUCUAUGUCU